rnacentral:lncRNA from 1 species
ACGCUGUUUUACAGGAACAGGGUAAAUAUCUAAUGACACCACAAAGGAAGGGAAAAGAGGAGGAAGCAGGAAAAAUAAGGGAAGCACAUUCCUUAAAUUCUGGGUUGGGAUGUCAGUGAUGGUUGGUCUGUUGGUUGGUUUGUUUGUUGGUUUAAAUAUUGCUCAAGAGCCUGAUGCCACUUAGACCUCUCCUAUGUCUGGUUUUGCCAUAAAUCUGGAAUGAUUACCCCACUGUACUGACAUGUUCACAAGAGGGUCAUCAACAUAAUUUGUGAAGGAGUGACACAAAAAUAAGAUGUGGAAAUGCAUGGAGCUGAAAUCAGCUGAAUGAUGCUUUGGUCACGUCUUGGCGAUGCUAGCAGAGCUUAGAGCUUCUAAUGUCCAUGAAUUAGAAGAAUCGAUCUCUUUGAACACACUUUAAAUUGAUCUUUGAUUGGACCACAUAGCUCUUGGAAAAGGUUAGGAGAGCAUUAUUAAACACAAAACGCUGCCUUCAGUCCUCUGGUUGCUGGUGGAACUCAUCCUCUAGAGAAUUUUUUCCUGUAGAAAAGGUUGCGUUAGUGACACCCUGGAAUACUGCUUGGAAAGACAACAAGAGAGAAGAAGCUGCAUCCAUUGACUUGUUUUCACUGGAUGAUUUGGAUUUGGAAGCAGAGCUGGCUUUGCAUUGCUGUGUGAAGCAGAGCACCCACCUUGCUGUAGCGGUGCCCAGCAUGCUGCUCGUUCACCCCUGCGCUGACUGCAGCACCUCUGCUCUGUCAGAGUGCCCUUUGCUUCUGAGCAGCUUUGUCCCAUUCCCAGAUCCUACUUCCCUUGCCACGGAAAGUGAAUUAAAAUGAAAAUACAUUUUCCUUUCCUUAUUCAAAUAUGAAGUUUUCAACACAGCAG